UUUUUUGAGAGACAUACUUGAGGUAACAGUUAACCUGCUCCAGUUUUGCAGACAACAAUUGCUUUACAGUUUAGACGGAAGUCAUAGUUCGUUCACCUUCUGAAUUCAUCAUAUCGUUUAUGCAAUUUUACUUGAUUCACCUUCUGAAUUCAUCAUAUCGUUUAUGCAAUUUUACUUGAUUCACCGACAACAAUGGGAGGGACAUAUUCUCAAGAGCUCCCCUGCUAAAAUCUUCGGUGUUUUCUGAUUUUUGAUUCACUACAUUUCGAUCCCAAAUGUAAUUGAUUAUAUCUUGGAGUUUGACUCCAUUAAACAAAUGGGUGGC
rnacentral:lncRNA from 1 species